rnacentral:lncRNA from 1 species
AUGUUUAUGAAAAUCAUUUUCUUAACUUAUGCUAAUCUUCUAAGACUGCAGUAUUCAGCCAUAACCUUCCUUUACAAAGCUUGGACACGCUGGCACAAAGUCAUCCCGAACUCGCCAGAAUGGAAGGGAAACAGUUCAAAAGGCAUUUUUAAAUCGCUUUUCCAUCUCAGCUGGACAGCAUCGCAGAAAUUAAUAGCAUUGCUUGCAGCAACAAGGCUGGAUACAUUGCAUGUGACUCAUAUUUACAAUGUCAGAAGUGAACCAACCCACUUCAGUAAAUGGAGGAAUGUUUCCAGACCCACUGUGACCUAAAGUUCCUCAGAAUUUCAGUCUCCCUAGGAGGGGAGGCAAGGACAGACAAAAUGGACAACUGAACAGGCCUCAUGCAUCAGAGAAAUUCCUUUCAUCUCAGAAACAGGUGAUUUACUUCUACUGAAUAGUCUCUCCAGACCUGCACUCUCCUGAAAGCUUGAAAACUUCUCUAAUUCCAUGACUAAACAUAUAUUUUCAGUAAAAUAUAACAAUAUUCUUGGCUGGUUUUUGCCCUUCUACUUCUGUGCCAAAGUUGAUCUUCAACUUAAAUAGGUUUUAACACCCUGGUUGUGUGUGCCAGAAGACCUGUAUCUCCUCUUGGCCUCAUCUUCUUAGGCAUUAUAAGAAAAGGCUAUUUUAACAUUUUAAAUGGUAGCUUCUCUACAGGGACCAGCUUAAUAGACCACUUCAUUCCCAUUUGAUUUCCUGUUUCUCCUCUACAUUGUCAAUUUUUGCCAGCUUUAUGUUAUCAAUGGAUUUCACUGUCAUACUUUUAUACAUAUCGCUCAUGAAACUAUUAAGAUAGGCAUCAAGCUUUUCUUUGAAGAAAUGUACUGGUAACUUCCCUCCAUCCCUUUUAAUAUCACUCUCUCAUCUCCCCUCUAUACUGUUAUUUUUCCAUAUUUUCACUCUUGUGGUAAUUCCCAACUUCUCCAGCUCUGCUAAAAAUUCCCUGUUGUGAUCUUAUACCUUUAUUUUUUCACUGAGGUCUAGAAAUAUGUGAUCUACCACAUCUCCUUUGUCUAGAUCAGUUGUUAUCAAAGAAAAACAUGAGUUUAGUCAGACAUGAUUUAUCCUUGGUAAACACUUGUGCUUUAUCCUAGUUUUUCAUUACUUCCUUGCCUUUAAUUAUUGUUUCCUUCAAAAAGUGUUCUGAUAGCCUUAUAUGCUACUGUGGUCUGACCGAUAGGUUUAUAAUUUUCCAGAUUGCUUCCUCCCUCCACCUUAAGUCUAGCUACUACAUUUUCUAUUCUCUAAUCAUAUAGCGCUGCCUUUAACU